rnacentral:rRNA from 1 species
AGAGGUCCUACCUGCCCAGUGACUCACGUUUACGGCGCGGUAUUCUGACGUGCUAGGUAGCGCUAUCACUGUCUUUAAUGGAGUACCUGCUAUGAAUGGUGGAGACGAGGGCUUGACUGUCAUCCCUUCCCCAGUCAAUGAAAUUGAUCUACCCGUGCAGAAGCGGGUAUACACAUAUAAGACGAGAAGACCCUUUGGAGCUUAAGACAAUAAGAUCUACUGCACCAAAGACCCGAAUAAAAUGACGCCAAACAAAAGCAACUACUGAUCCCCGUCUUCGGUUGGGGCGACCGUGGGGAAUAACAAAACCCCCAUGCGGAACGGGAGUACUCCUAGAGCCAAGAGAGACAUCUAUAAGCCACAGAACAUCUGACCAUAAAGAUCCGGCAACACCGGCCGAUCAACGAACCAAGUUACCCUAGGGAUAACAGCGCAAUCCCCUUCGAAAGUCCAUAUCGACAAGGCGGUUUACGACCUCGAUGUAGGAUCAGGACAUCCUAACGGUGCAGCCGCUGUUAAGGG